rnacentral:rRNA from 1 species
UGCCAGACUCCUACGGGAGGCAGCAGUGGGGAAUAUUGCACAAUGGGGGGAACCCUGAUGCAGCGACGCCGCGUGAGUGAAGAAGUAUUUCGAUAUGUAAAGCUCUAUCAGCAGGGAAGAAGAUGACGGUACCUGAGUAAGAAGCCCCGGCUAACUACGUGCCAGCAGCCGCGGUAAUACGUAGGGGGCAAGCGUUAUCCGGAUUUACUGGGUGUAAAGGGAGCGUAGACGGCAUAGCAAGUCUGAAGUGAAAGCCCAAGGCUAAACCAGGGGACUGCUUUGGAAACUGUUAAGCUAGAGUGCUGGAGAGGUAAGCGGAAUUCCUAGGGUAGCGGUGAAAUGCGUAGAUAUUAGGAAGAACACCAGUGGCGAAGGCGGCUUACUGGACAGUAACUGACGUUGAGGCUCGAAAGCGUGGGGAGCAAACAGGAUUAGAUACCCCGGUA